rnacentral:rRNA from 1 species
CUCCUCCUACCAGGUGCUCUCUCCUCACCGCGUCGUCGUCACGGCAGGCGCCGAGCAGAUCUGGGGCUUAAUCUGCUGCAGAUCUGGGGUGACGGGUCUUAAUCUGCUGCAGACGGGGGAGACAGGGCGGGCGCCAUGACGAAGCACUCCCCGGAGGCACUGGUGCUUAUUUCCCGUGGAAGCUUUCAGGGUCGGGUUCCCGGCGAGCGGCGUCAUCAGCUCUGGCACUAACCUCGACUGCCCAGUCCUAGAUGAGCAUGACAGAAGAAAAUGACUGAGAUUGCUACCAAGACAAGGCUGAUGUCACUUGAACUGUUGGAGGGAUUGUUAGACGUGCGCCCGUGCUCAUGUGCCUCCAUGUGUGGCUCUCUAAUCAGAUCUACGAGCUGCCUCUCUAUGCAGCAGGAGCCAAACUAUGUGCCACCGUAUGCAUAGUCAGAUCUCUAAUUAGAUGAUCUGCCUCCACUAUUGUACGCAUGUUAAGCUUGGUCAUUUAAUUGCAUCUG